rnacentral:lncRNA from 1 species
GGGAGAUAAGAUUGAGCCAUCAAAGGAGCAUCAACAAUCCGAUUACUUAAAAAAAAAAAAUAAUGUGCAGACGUUAUAUGUUGUAUGUUUUUUUUAGUUAUAUAAUAUAAAAUUUACUAUUAUUCAACAUGAGGAUGGUGUGGUUCAGUGUAGAAACUUGCAUGCCUACAGAUAUAUAACACCCCCUACAAAACACAGAUUAUCAAUUUAAAAGAUGAAAUCUAAUGGAUCAAAAUAUAAAGAACCAAAUCAAGACACUUACUAAAUUACUGUAGAAAAGAAAGACAAUUGUUGAAGAUUAACCUAAGAAACUCUAUCCAUUUAUGGAGUUUGCGUUGUUUCGAAUUCUAUAAUCAGACCCUCCGAAUGGAUGAUCGCUCUAGGACGACAUGCAGGUGGAUCAUAGAAAUCUAAGAAAACUUAAAUAUAGUUCCUAAGAUUAAGAGGAAUCUUAUAUCUAUUUCUUGUCUUAUUGAACAAUCAUAUAAUGUAACCUUUUCUUAGAAAUGAACACUUCAUUCAAAGAUAUUUAUUACUUUUAUGUGAAUCUUGUCUUGGAAUGAAAUGUUCAUUUCUAAGAAUGGUAUACAUGUUUAUUUAGCUAACCUUGAAGACAACUUGUAUGUAUUAAGACCUAACAAAGCAAAAGCAAUUUUAAAUAAUGAGAUAUUUAAAACUGCUAAUACUCAAAAUAAAAUGCAACGAAUUUCUCCUAAUAACAAUACCUAUCUUUGGCAUUUAAGAUUAAGUCACAUUAAUCGCAAUAGGAUCACGAGAUUAAUAAAGAAUGGACUCCUAAAUCAAUUAAAAGAUUAUUCAUUCCCUCCAUCUGAAUCUUGUCUUGAAGGAAAGAUGACUAAAAGACCUUUUACUAGAAAAUGUUAUAGAACCAAAGAGCCCCUAGAACUUAUACAUUCAGACCUAUGUGGUUUGAUGAAUGUAAAAGCUAGAGGAGGUUUUGAAUACUUCAUCUCAAGGUAUGGUUAUUUAUACUUAAUGAUGCAUAAGUCUGAAGCUCUUGAAAAGUUCAAGGAGUAUAAGGUUGAAGUUGAAAAUCUAUCAAGUAAAAAGAUUAAAAUACUUCAAUCUAAUCGAGGUGAAGAGCACAUGGAUUUGAGAUUUUAGGACUAUAUGAUAGAACACGGAGUCCAAUCUCAACUCUUAGCACCUGGUACACCUCAACAAAAUGGUGUUUCAGAAAGGAAAAAUAAAACAUUGUUAGACAAGGUUCGUUCAAUGAUGAGUUAUGCUCAAUUGCUUAGCUCGUUUUGAGGGUAUGUAGUGGAGACUGCAGUUCAUAUCUUGAACAAUGUUUCAUCGAAGAGUGUUUCUGAAACACCUUUCGAGUUAUAGAUAGGACGUAAACCUAGUUUAAGUCACUUCAGAAUUUGGGGUUGUCCAGCUGGUGUAUUAGUGACAAAUCCCAAAAAGUUGAAAAAACGUUCAAGGUUGUGCCAUUUUGUUGGUUACCAUAAAGAAAUGAGAGGUGGCCUAUUCUUCGAUCCACAAGAAAACAUAGCGUUUGUGUCGAAAAAUGCUACUUUCUUGAAAGAAGACCACAUGAGAGAUCAUAAACCACGAAGAAAAUUAGUAUUAAGUGAAGCUAUUGAUGAAUAAAAAAAGGUUGUUGAUGAAGUUGGUCCAUCGUCAAGAGUUGAUGAAACCAACACAUCAAGUCAGUCUCAUCCUUCUCAAUCAUUGAGAAUGCCUCGACGCAGUAGGAUAAUUGUAUCACAACCUAACUUUUACUUGAAUUUAACCGAAACUCAGGUUGUCAUACCAGAUGAUGCGUUGAGGAUCUAUUGUCUUAUAAACAAACAAUGAAUGAUGUAUACAAGGAUCAAUGGAUCAAAGCCAUGGACCUUGAAACAGAGUCUAUGUACUUCAAUUUAGUGUGGGAGCUUGGAGAUCUACCUAAAGGGGUUAAACCUAUACGAUGCAAAUGGAUCUAUAAGAGAAAGAGAGAUUGAGUUGGAAAGGUAAAUACCUUCACAACUAGACUUGUAGCAAAAUGGUAUACCCAAUGGGAAGGGAUUGACUAUGAGAAUUUUGUUUCCCUAUUGCUAUGUUAAAGUCUAUAAGGAUUCUCUUGUCUAUAGCCACUUUUUAUGAUUAUGUGAAUCUUGAAGAUCACUUUUUUUAAUGACAAUCUUGAAGAGAGUAUCUUUAUGUCUCAGCCUGAGGGGUUCAUAAUCAAAGGUCAUGAGCAAAAAGUUUGCAAGUUGAAUCGAUCCAUUUAUGGGUUGAAACAAGCAUCUAGAUCUUGGAACAUUAGAUUUGAUGUUGCGAUCAAAUCUUAUGGUUUUGACCAAAACAUUGAUGAACCUUGUGUAUACGAGAAAAUCAACAAUGGUAAAGUAGUUUUCUUAGUACUUUAUGUGGAUGAUACCCUUCUCAUUGGAAAUGAUGUAGGAUACUUAAUUGACGUUAAAACUUGGCUAGUAGCCCAAUUUCAAAUGAAAGAUUUGGGAGAGGUACAAUGUGUUCUAGGGAUCCAAAUCAUAAGGGAUUGUAAAAAUAAAACACUAGCACUGUCUCAAGCAACUUAUUUCGAUAAAAUGUUGGUUCGAUAUUCGAUGCAAAACUCUAAGAAGGAUUUAUUACCUUUCAGGCACGUGGUUCACUUGUUUAAGGAAUAGUGUCCUAAGACACCUCAAGAAGUUGAGGAUAUGAGACGUAUUAGUUGUGGGUAGCUUAAUAUAUGUAAUGCUUUGCACUAGGCCAGAUAUUUGUUAUAGAUUGGAAAUAGUCAGUAGAUAUAGAUCCAAUCCAGGGUUAGACCACUGGAUGACGGUUAAAAUUAUUCUUAAGUAUCUUAGGAAAACGAGAGACUAUAUGCUUGUGUAUAGAGCUAAGGAUUUAAUCAUUAUGGGAUACAUUAACUCUGAUUUCGAAACUGAUAAGGAUUCUAAGAAAUUCACAUCGGGAUAAGUGUUCACCCUAAACGGGGGAGCUAUGAUAUGACGUAGCAUCAAACGAGGAUGCAUUGCAGACUCUACUAUGGAGGCUGGGUAUGUCGCUGCUUGUGAAGCAGCGAAAGAAACAACUUGGCUCAGGAAGUUCCUGCAUGAUAUGAAAGUUGUUCCUUAUCUUGGUAAUACUAUGGAUACGACUCACUUUGUUUUUGAUACAAACACAAUGAUCCAACGAGUUCAUGUAGUUGACAUGCGAGUAAAGGUAUCCUAUGCAAUAAGAUUGCAUAAGACCAGACCGCGAAAUAGUAACCAUUAGAUGUAACUACGUUAACUAGUUAGGUUUCUAUUUUACUUGGAUGACCUAGGUAACUUAGUCUUAAUCUUGAGUGUAUUAUGAAUUACUGUUUGUGAGGGAGUGUCCUUUAAUUUGUAUGAGUGAGAGUGGCCAGAUUGUCGGCUCAAUAAGCUUAUCAUUUUGGAGACAAGAUCAAGCGGGGAGUUGGUAACAUAAUAUUACACAAGAUGAAAUUCACUCAUUCCCUACUUUUGGGUAAGUAGAUGGGUGUUCCCUUAAAUUGUGUCUCCAUGACUUGAACAAAGGGUCUUUACCCUCUUUAUGGUACGAGAGGGAGUUUUGUUUAUUGGUAGAACCAUAAACAAGUUGUUCAUUAGAGAAGCACUGAUAUUUAAGGAUUAGAGGUAACUAAGGGUAAAACGGUAAAUUGAUCUAGCUGGUGUUACAAACACUCCUAAAGGACUAACUUACUGUUAUUGGUCUAUAUCCAUGGACACAUAAAUAUAUCUACAGUGAGAAGAGCCCAGUUGUGAGUCUUUAGUGGAGUGUAUACACAGUUAACGAAUAUUGAUUAAUGUGGUUAAUGAGUUUAGCCAAUUAAUCUCAAAUCGUUGUAACUUCUGAUUUGUAUGUCUAUUAGGUUUCCUUCCUAACUCGUAAAGGGUAAUGAAAUUUAUUUAUAGUGGUUGUAAUUUGAAAUGUUUAAAUUUACUUUGAGAAUUAGUUUAAUGUAUAAUGAUACAUUAUAAUAUAAAGUUUAUCAAAUUUUAUUAUAUAAAUUUAAUUUUGGAUAUGAUUCAAAAUUAAUAUAUGAGAGAUAAAAUAUUUGAAUGAGUUCAAAUAUUAAUUUAAUGUGAAUUGGAUUCAAACUAUUGAUUAGUAGAGAAACUUAUAUUUGAAUAUGAUUCAAAUUUAAUCUAAAUUAAAUAUAAAAUAUUUAAUUUAGCUAUUAAUUAAUAAUUAAAUUAAAUUAAAUUAAUAUAAAUCUAUAAGAUAUUUGACAGAUAUUCAUCCAAAUAAGAUUUGAAUGAAAUAUUAAUUAAAUAUGAUUUAAUUAAUUAUAUUAAUAUAUAUCUAUAAGAUAUUGGAUAGAUAUUCAUUUAAAUAAGAUUUAAUUAAUUAUUAACUAAUUGAUUAAUGGUUAAUUAAUGAGUAGAUUUGAAAUAUCUAUUAAUUUAAGUUUUUUUAAAUUAAUGAAAUCUCACAAUUCUUUCAAAUCCCUUUUCUAUUUUAAGAGGGUUAUAAAUACUUAGAAGAAAAUAUUUCUUUUAAGGAAUUAAUCAAGAAAAAAAAAACAAAAGCUUUUUGGUUUGUGCAAAAAAAAAAAAAAAAGUUUCUCUCAAAUAUCUAUAAACAUUUUUCAUCCCAAUUGGUUCCCACAAACCAAUCUCAUGAUAGAAAGUAAAUUCUCUAUAUCUUUUAAAUUAAAAGCAUGCUUAAUUUUAAUUUAGAAUUUUGAUUCUAAAUUUUGUCGAUGUACUGGUAUUUUGAAAUUUCCAAAUUAAUUUGAGAAAUAGUUUCGUAAAAUCUUCCACUAUCAUAGGACUUUUAUCCCUCCACUAUCAUAGGACUUUUAUCCCUUCACUGUCAACAACUCAGUUUAGCACGUUCAUAAUCCUAUCAUUUAUUCAUACUUCUUACAAUAUCCCUGUCUUAUGGGCCUAACUACGAAGCUCUUUUUGCACAAAAAAUUGAAGAUCCAGUCAAAAGGGGUAUACACUCAUACGCCCAAACCAAAAGAGAGAAGGAAAAUCCAGCAAUGCCAACGACUUGGGCAAAAGGGUUUUUUAUAGAUUCUUUUAUUGAAUCUUUCAGAACAUAAUACCCAAUUUUGCCUCGUGUAUAAGCCUCACAUUGACUUUCAUCAUUAACCAAUUUUAUGUGAUCCAUAUCUACCCGUUGUUAAUUGUUUUUCUAUUAGAAAAUUUUCAAGGAAGUAAAUCUUUGUCAUUUUGACUUUGUCCUCAUCUUUCAGUUUUCUUGAAUCAUUAAAAAUGUAUACAACCUCUGAUCUAGGACUAUCUUCAUCCUCGAAGUAUUUUGAUGAGAAUUUAUCAUUCAAUUUCUUCAUAUUUACAGGUAGUAAUGGUCCACAAUUCGACUUUGUUAUUGUUUCAUAUUCUCUUAUUCCAAAUUUUGCUAUAUACCCUUCAAAGUUGAACACAUUUCAUCUUCUAGCGUCUUAUUAUGUGAUAUAACAAGUGACUUUGGAAUUUUGUUAUUUUUAAAUCCAAAAAACAUCCAAAGGGUGAACUCUUAAACAUAUCUAAUUGGUCCCUAUUCAAUUUUUUUUAAUGUUUCUAAAGACAUCUAUACAGAUAUAUAAACUAAGUUUUUGUAUUAUUGACCAUUUAUUCCUUUUCAGAAUUAAUGGUGCACGCUACGAACAUAUAUAAUAAAAAAAUGAGAAUAAUGAAUUGAUGCCAUAUUAUAUAUCAUAUAUUAGGCAGCAUAUAUGAAAUAACAUCAUAAAUACCUCAUAUAUAUAUAUAUAUCCUCUUUUGCAUCACUUUUUCUCCAUUUUUCUGUUCCACCUUAGCUUUUUGAAUAUAUAUAUGUGUAUUUUUUUUUCUUCUCCAAGCUUCUCUUCACUCUUUCCCCCGUACUUCGUUCUCCUUUUUUUUUCACUUUUUUUGUCUUUUAAGAUUUUGAAUCAUUUUUAUUAGAUUUUUUAUUUCCUUAUUUUGCUUUAUCUUCACGAACUGUCUUUCUCUUCUUUGACUCUUACAUUUCAUAUAAUCAAUUAAACGUUAAAUUAAUGUAUGAUUUGUUAAAAGUACAAUACUAUUAUAUUUCACAUACAUACAUUCUCAAAUUGAAUUCUUUUUCGUUUGACCUUUAAGAAUUCUUUGAAUAAUAUCCUUUCAGCAAUUGGUACAUUAUAUCAUGUACAACUUCAUUUCAAAUAUACCUAUAAAUUUUAAAAAUAAAUUUGUUGCCAAAACAAUAUAUCUCAUCCUCACAAGGUACUUCAGCGGUUUUAUAUCCUUCGUUUAUCUAUAAAAUAAAAAGCUAAUAUAUACCUCAUAUUAAGGUGUUCAAAAUGAAGUUGAAAAUUCAACCGAAUCACUAACCGAACCAAAAUCGAACUGAAACCGAAUGCGUACGGUUCGGUUCAAUUUCUAUUUUAAAAAAAUGCAUAAAAUUCGGUUCAAUUCAGUUUAAGAUGUUAAGAACCGAUUCUCAAACCGAAUCGAAUUGCUUUAUUUAAAAAAAACCAUAUAUAUAUAAAUAUAUAAAUAAUAUGUUAAUAAUAAGAUUUUUUUUAGACUUCAAAGCGGGUAUAAAGACAAAAAUCAAGGAGAGGAACGAGAAAGAGAAGAAUGGCAUAAUCAAAACGUAAAUGACAAGUUGUCUUGACGAAGUUUGUAUGACUGCAUGACUUUUAUUUAUCUUAAGUGAAUUUUGAAACUUCUAUGUUUUGAUGGAAUUUCAAAUUUCAAUGUUUGAAACAUUUAUGUCAUGUAAUUUUGAAAUUUCUAUGUUUGUAACUUUGUAUAAGCGGUUCGUUUUGAUUCAGUUUUAUGAUGCAUAUGUGGUUUGGUUUCCAUUCGGUUUGACACACAUAAACGGUUCGGUUCGGUUUCAAAUAAGAUUUUUUUUUUUCAUUUUGCGGUUCGGUGCGGUUUUAGCUAGCUUCAAAUCAGACCAAACCGAACAGUGAACACCCCUAUCUCAUAUAAGAUAACUUAAUAUAUAUACUACCUUUAUUAUAAUAUAUACAAAUCAACAUACCUCUUUAUCAUGUCUAGGCAUUCUUUUCUCACGUGUUUCCAGAACUAUGUCGGGUUUCACUGUACUUUUCUCAUCGUAUCCAACUAUAUUUGUGUUCCAUUUGGUCAACUUAUAUCAUAUUCAUCAUCCCCUGGGAACAUUAACUGUAGAGGUUGGUAGUCCCUCGGUUCUUCCUCAUAACUCUCUUCAUAAUCUUGAGAGUUAGAAGUGAUAUUGUUUUCCUCCUACAUAAUUAUACGAACACGAUAUAAUUAUAAUCCAUAUCCCUGAUCUGCCACAUAGAAUAUACCAUAUAUUUUAAAAACUUACAACAUAGAACAUAACAUAUACCUCUGCAUCAUCAAUAACUAUCGGAUCAUCAUUGUUUGAUUUGAUAGUCCUAGUCCUUGAUCCAAUGACUCUUUCACUUCUACGAACCAUUUUAUGAACUACAUGUUCAUUUAACACAUCAUAUAUAAAUCUAAAUACAGUUACAACUCUUAUUUUAAACUCUUUCUCAGUUCACAAAUAAUUUAUUAGAAAUUAUACUACAUAUUUCAAAUAUACUAAACGAUUUUAAAAUUGUCUUCAACAGUCGAAAUUUGGAUACUUUAAAACUGAAGAAACCCUAAUUUUUUUGCAUUCACAAUCUCCAUAAUCAUUUUGUUCGAUUGAUGUCUCAUAGUGUGUGAAUAUCUUCAAUAUACUCAAUAUAAUAUACCCUAAUGUAUUUCGGAUACGAAAUAUAAACUUUUACUAACCAGAUAUUUUUGUCGAAAAUGUUUCAAAACUUCACUGGUUUUAGCCGGUCGUCGAGGUUCUUCUUCUUCACCGUGUAUAUUUCUCCAAAUCUUCUACUAUCCGGCUUCUUUUGUGAAGAGAAUGGAAGGAAUAUUGUGUUGUUGUCGAGAAAGGAAAGUUUCUUCCAUUUUUUGAAAAUGCCUAAACUGUAACCCACGUUC